rnacentral:rRNA from 1 species
UACGUAGGUGGCAAGCGUUGUCCGGAAUUAUUGGGCGUAAAGCGCGCGCAGGCGGUCCUUUAAGUCUGAUGUGAAAGCCCACGGCUCAACCGUGGAGGGUCAUUGGAAACUGGGGGACUUGAGUACAGAAGAGAAGAGUGGAAUUCCACGUGUAGCGGUGAGAUGCGUAGAGAUGUGGAGGAACACCAGUGGCGAAGGCGACUCUUUGGUCUGUAACUGACGCUGAGGCGCGAAAGCGUGGGGAGCAAACAGG